AAUGAGAACUUUGAAGAGUGAAGUGGGGAACUGUUCCAUGUGAACAUCACUUGGAAAUGGCCGAUUAGUUGAUCCUAAGAGAUGGGGAAUCCUUGUAUCAAGGGUACACUCUACAAGAACAUCGAAAGAGAAUUUGGUUAAUAUUCGUGAACUGGGACAUGGUGGUGGACGACAAUGUUAGGAAAUCUGGAUAUGUCAUUGGGGGCCUGGGAAGAGUUAUCUUUUCUUUUUAACACAUUUGACUCAUAACCACUACAAUUUUUAGAAUCACAAACCCUUAAACCCUUGAAAAUUUAACCCUAAUAUUUAACCCUUAUAACCCCAAACAUGUACAUUAACUAUUACAUCUAUCCAUUAUUAGUACUAGUC
rnacentral:ncRNA from 1 species